GAGAGAGAGAGAGAGAGAUUUCAAAUCUCUCAAAUGUCUACAACAUAAUUAUCUGUGGAACUUUUUUAUGCUUUACAUCCAUCAAACAAGUCAUACACCAAAAUACCAAAUGUAAGCAAACCUAAUAUUUAACAAGUAAAAAAGAUAUAUAGCAACAAACAAUGGGCCAUAAAUAAUUAAAUUUUUUUUUUUUAAAAAAGAGGGAAAAGAAAUGCAAAGCAAAGAUUCUGAUUCCAGAGAAACACGUAAUGGAUAACACCGCAAUUACUUAUGGCAAUUGUAAACAUGCAGAAGCAUCAAAGUAACAAUCGCAAGAACAUAUACAUAUAAACAAAUGCAAGUAAAGAUCAACAACUGUAUAUAGGCUGGGCCGGCUAGUUCCAGUCCCUAGAACCAAGGGCCAGGGACCAGACUGCAAGGUCCCGAGAUUUCAAUUCCGGUUUGAGCCAAUCCAAAAGUCGAAAUGGUUUCUAAUGUUGGUUCAAACUGGCCCAGUUCAAGAGGAGAGAGCAAAUGAACCGGUUCCGGUUUGGACCCAUGGAGCUCCAGUUCCAGUCCGGUUUAGGCUGGGCUGGUUCCAGGUCCAAACUGCAAAGUGGCCAGGUCUAAUUGUAUACUUUUCCUGAAAACUUUAGUAAAUGAAUGAGAUACACAAACCACUAAUGCUCAACACUGGUUAACCACACUCAAUCAACAAUUCCACAUGAAAAUUUUCCCCAUAUAACAAAUAAGAGGUAAAUAAUAAAAUGUAGCCUGCCUUGACAAAGUGAAAGCCUGCCUUCAAAGUAAGCAUAUAGAGCAGUUAUUAAAUUUCUCCACAUUUGCCAUGAAAUCUACAAAUCAAUAAUGAAACAUGCAAAGAAAAGGAGGAUCCAAAUAAAACAAUGUGAGAAAUUUUAGGGUGGCUACAAUUGCAACAUCCAUAAAAGGGAACACAGUUUUGAAUAAAUACCAAAACAUUUCAAAGCAUGUAUGGCACAUAACAGAGACAACAUUAAGAUAUACCAUUAGCAACCACUUUAGAUUGACUCACCUCAAUCGCUGUCAUCAAUUCAAAAGGCUUCUCCCAACUAGAUUGUUUU
rnacentral:misc_RNA from 1 species